AGCACGGCAUUGCUACCGGGAGGACUACAUUUCCCAAAAAGCCUGCCCAGCCGUGCGCGCACCCGCCGGAAGGAGUCAGCUACGCGGGGUGCUGAGCGUCGAGGCGCGGAGCCUGAGUUGCCAGAGCGGUGGUCGUCUGCACGAUGCCCAAGGCCAAGGGCAAGACCCGGAGGCAGAAAUUCGGCUCUCGCAUCCGACACGCCCGGGACCGCGCCGCGGCGGUGCGGCAGAAGCUGGCCGAGAUGGAGUUGGCGAUCAGGGCCUUGGAAGUGGACCUAGAGGGAAGGCCUCAGGAGCUAGUGCAGAAGCCCUACCUCGUAGACUACGUACGCUGCAUGGUGGAGAACCACGGGGAGGACUGGAAGGUGAGUGGCUCAGGCCGGCAGGAAGAAACGCUGGGACCCGUUGGGAAGGCACCUGGACCAUUCGAGUUCUGAUCUGCUUGCCUAGUGCCUGUUUCCUGAGACUGAGCAGAAACAAAGGGAAGAUUCUAGGAAAGGAAUCCCACGGACAGAAUGCUUAUUUAUAGCUGGGAUAGGAUCUGGCUACACUGGACCCCUGCGCCUAGACCAGAUUAGUUGACUGUGGAUGGAGCAUGCGCUGCUCAGCUGGCCCCAGCUCGUGCCUGGUCCCCGUGGGCAUCUGCACCCAUUUCCCCCACAUACACCAUGGCUUUUGAGGUGAGGAAUCCGAACCUCAGGGACAGGAGGUGGUUUGCCCAACUCCGGACUGAGCUAGCGUUUGAACCGUUGCCUGUCCAGCCCUCAAGUGGCUCUUCUCCCUUCCAAGGCUAUGGCCCAGGAUGAGAAUUACUAUCAAGAGUCCCCGGAAAAGAUUCAGAAUAAGAUCAAUGUCUCUAAGCAUUUUUACCCAGCAGCAUGGCAAGCCUUUGUUCAUUCUUUGUAGAAUAAGAUGGCAGUUGAGUGGCUGGUUUACACCUGCCCCAGGCUGAGGCCUCCUGGGCCGGAGAAGCUGGAGCCAGGGUUUAAGGCGAGGGGUGUGUGGUUACAGGUGGGUCUGGCCGGGGCUAGGCCUGCCUGAUCUGACCAGGAGGUGACGAGGUGAUGACUAUCCGUAGCAGCAUUACAGGCAGGGUGUGAGGUUGUCACUGGGCAUUUUCUUAGUCUUGAUACUUCAUCCUCAGCUAUUCAUAAUACAAAAAGCCUCAUUUCUGAGGAUUCUCCUACAAGUACCUAAGAUGUCUCCUCACUGCUCUUGCGAAGGGCUUAGUGUUUUUACAUAGAUUUCACAUAAAACCAUGUAAGGUGUGUGGUUUUCUUCCCAUCUUACAGGUGUUUCGAAACAGGCUUGAGAGGCAUUAAGUGCCGGGGGAUUGAAGUCAAGUCUUUCCCACACUAAGCCUAGCUCUCCUUUGCUGGCCUCCCCCUGGCUCCUGAAGGCAGCGCCUCUGUCCCACGUGGUCAGGACAGGCUGGGGAAGUCCCGGAAACCCCUCCCCUGUUGGACUCAGCCCGUUUAGACUGCACAGUGACUGGCCACUAACUAAGCACCUCAAGCACAGGCAUUUCGGAUCUGGGCUGCAGCGGAGCUCCUGAGGCCCCUCAUUACUGGCCUCAACUUUUGUCCUUAACAGCAUCCCACAUUCAGGCCUUGGACAAGGCUGGCCCCUUAACCUGGUUUCUUUACUUGGUUCAGGUGCCAGUUAUAGGGAGCCUUCUCUACCACUGCCUCCUGCCCCGGGCUGUGUGUCCUGUAGUCCCCAUGCCCAGACUUCCUGUAGCGGUACCAUCCCAGUCAUACCUGCCUUUCAGUCUGCUCGACGUCCCCUACCAGACUGGGCGAGUGCAGGGACCUGGCCCCAGGCGGGUGCUGGGGGAAUGUUUGUGGCGUGGCUGGCUGUGUGCCACGACCUCCGUGCUGACCUCUGGCGUGGAGGCAGUCAGAUGUCUUUGUUCCCGUUUCCACACCUUCACUGACAAGGCCAGAGCCAAAGAGCAGGUGGAGACUUUGGGUGCCUCGCAGAAGGUACCGAGUUAGGCCCAAGCUUCUGUCCCUUACCCCCACGGGGGCUCAAGGCCAGGGGACUGGGACUUGCUGUUGACAAACUAUCACAGAGAGUGUUCUGGGGCCACCCUCCAUAGCUGCCCCUCACUGGGACUGCAAGUACCCAGCACACAAAGUCAGAAUUCACAUGAAACCACUUCCAUGUUUUUGGCGUUUAUUGUGUAGUCCCUCAAACGCUGCCAGCACUCUGCCUUACGCAGUCUGGGUUUGUGAGGCAUGGGCGGACAGUGAGGCCCCUUUGCCUUCUGAUCUUUGUGGGAAUCCUCCCUUUGUCCCUUAAUGGGCCCAUCUCCCAGAGGCAGCAGACGAGAAAAAGCAGGAGGUUCCCCUUUUCAGAGCUACCGGGAAGGACUGAGGAUGUGUGAGCGUCAGAGGCACAAUGCUUGGACAGUCCCGGCUCUGAGGUCUGGGUUAGCUGCACAGGAUAACACCACGGGCGAGUUUUAGCAGCUGGUGCGAAAUGCUGGCAGUUGCUACUAAACUACAAUAGCAUAAGAACAAAAUGUUUUUCGAAGGCAAGUGGAAACGUUUUUUGGGAAAUCUGGUGUUUCCUUUAGGCAGACAGGCCAGAGUUGUGGUUUUCAUCAGCACCUCUGUGGAGGACCAGGAAGCCGUGACGGACCAACUUCCUCCUCUACCCAGUCUUAGAGCUGGUUCCACUGCGUCAGCACAAGCUCAUAGCGGGCAGUUCUGGGCGCCAUGAGAUGUCAGAGAAGGCUUCUUGGGAUGGGCAGUUAGUCCAAGGUGGUGGUCCCAGCAGCCUCCAGAGCCCUCCUGCCCAGACCAUCCACAUGUCCGAGCUCUGGACCAGGUGGCCUCUCCUCAGAGGGAUGCCAACAGGUCACCGAAUGGAACAUCAGAAGCCAUUUCAUUGGAAUAACUUAAAGAACAGACACCCCGUGCCAGGGUGAGUGAUCCAGACACAGGUUCUACAAGCAAAUAGAGCAGAGCCUUCUAUCCACUGUCUUCUUUACCACAUGAGCUGCCCGGACACUUACUCUCUACCCCCACGCUUAGGUAGGUCAGGAGCUGUAGGUCGGGGCCGACUGGGGAACAGUGUCACCCAGGCUAGCUCAGGAACCUCAGAGAUGAACAGCUCCAGGUAACCCCUGGUCCCCAAUAACAGUUACCUGGGCCCCGGAUCAGAAAGUCACAUUCAGGAGUAACUGGUAAGAGCACAAGGCCAGGCGUCUAGUAGUUCUCUUAUUAAGAAAGGCCAUUCUCCUGCUUUGCCCAGUCUGGUCCUGGGAGAAAUCAGAGCCAAUAGACACUGUGGCACUUGGCUUGGAGGACAGGCCAGCAGCCCCAUCAGAGGAGCACAGCCGUCAGUGACAACUGUGCUGAGGGACACCCACAGGCCAACAGAACCUCCAGUCCACACCAGUAUCAGGGGUGGCACUCGGGACCCUCAGCGCCCCCCAAUGAUGUGUAUCUUCUCGUGCUGCUGGGACCUGUGGGUUCUGAGUGGUCUUUAAACGAAGCUCAACUGGACAUAGUUAAACUCUAUUCAAGUUCACCUCCCCGCACUGGGGGCUUUAAAAACUGUACUUCAUAAUGAUACUCGAUAAAAAAAGGGGUCCCCUGGGGCCAGCCGAGUGGCGCGAUGGUUAAGAACUGGCUUACGACGCCAGAGGGCCCUGGUUUG